rnacentral:rRNA from 1 species
UACGUAGGGUGCAAGCGUUGUCCGGAAUUAUUGGGCGUAAAGAGCUCGUAGGCGGUUUGUCGCGUCUGCUGUGAAAACUCGGGGCUUAACCCCGGGCCUGCAGUGGGUACGGGCAGACUAGAGUGCGGUAGGGGAGACUGGAAUUCCUGGUGUAGCGGUGAAAUGCGCAGAUAUCAGGAGGAACACCGGUGGCGAAGGCGGGUCUCUGGACAGUUCCUGACGCUGAGGCGCGAAGGCCAGGGGAGCAAACGGG